GUAAGGAAUAUUGGUCAAUGGGCGGGAGCCUGAACCAGCCAAGUCGCGUGAAGGAAGAAGGAUCUAUGGUUCGUAAACUUCUUUUGCAGGGGAAUAAAGUGCAGGACGUGUCCUGUUUUGUAUGUACCCUGAGAAUAAGGAUCGGCUAACUCCGUGCCAGCAGCCGCGGUAAUACGGAGGAUCCGAGCGUUAUCCGGAUUUAUUGGGUUUAAAGGGUGCGUAGGUGGUUUGAUAAGUCAGCGGUGAAAGUUUGCAGCUUAACUGUAAAAAUGCCGUUGAAACUGUCGGACUUGAGUGUAAAUGAGGUAGGCGGAAUGCGUGGUGUAGCGGUGAAAUGCAUAGAUAUCACGCAGAACUCCGAUUGCGAAGGCAGCUUACUAAGCUACAACUGACACUGAAGCACGAAAGCGUGGGGAUCAAACAGGAUUAGAUACCCGGGUAGUCC
rnacentral:rRNA from 1 species